UACGUAGGGUGCAAGCGUUAAUCGGAAUUACUGGGCGUAAAGCGUGCGCAGGCGGUUCGCUAAGACAGAUGUGAAGUCCCCGGGCUUAACCUGGGAACUGCAUUUGUGACUGGCGGGCUAGAGUAUGGCAGAGGGGGGUAGAAUUCCACGUGUAGCAGUGAAAUGCGUAGAGAUGUGGAGGAAUACCGAUGGCGAAGGCAGCCCCCUGGGCCAAUACUGACGCUCAUGCACGAAAGCGUGGGGAGCAAACAGG
rnacentral:rRNA from 1 species